CUAAGUUCAAAGAAAAACAAACUGUAGACAUACGAAAUUACCGCGUUGUCGACUGUGAUAUAGUGAAGUGUUUUUAUUACAUCUGCACCACCCUUGAAUGUAGGCCUAUAUAAAUAAAUAAAAACGAGUUGAUGAGCGUUCGAGAAUGACAAUACUUAUGAGUGCUAUUUCUUGUAAUAUCUAGCUAUUAAUGAGUAAACCAUAAUAGCCAUACACGAUUUUAUUGUAAUUUUACCUUUUGAAUCGAGUGCAUAUAACAUAAAAAAAUACAUAUUCCAUAUAAAAGCCUUAACCUCGUUAAAUACCCCACUUGUUAUACUAUAUGUGUCCUGUGUUUUUUUUUUUUUUUUCCUCGCUGAAGCACAGCUGGAAGUGGCCAUUGCACAGUCACCUCUAAAUAGCAUAUCGGUUUCCAAGGAUACCCGGGAGUAGCAUUUAAAUGACGUCAGUAUUCAUUGAUAGAGUAUUAUCGGCAGUAAUGAGUUCCUCUUCACCAAUAGGAUUCGAUAAGCAGUCUGUUUAGCGAUAGUGGAGUGGUGAAUGAAAGAAAGCUUGGAAAGAGAAAUGCAGCAGGGACUAGUCACACUCUACAAGCGCUGCAUGGCAUAAAGGUCCUGAUGGAGAAAGAGGGAGUGGGAGGGAGACAAAACUUGCGAGAGGACGAGGGAAAGCCCGUAAUGCUAGAACACACUGAGUCCCAGAGCUGUUUAAGACCGAGACUCAGGAUUUAAGCUUGUGGUGCGGUCCACCUGGGAGCCCUAGAUGAGUAUUUAAUUCUUCGACUGUGCAUGUGAGCCAGGAAAAGAGCGACUUUGAUAGACUCCAUUACCCAGAGAGGAGCGAGCAUUUCCUGAUACGCUCAGACAAAGUGCGGCACUUUGAAAGCUGUUUAGCACUGAUUGGAGUCCUUUCUGCUCUCCGCCAGAGAGAAUACCUCUUCAGGUGCCGGUGUCAAGCAUCUCUGAUACACGCUGCGCCUCCUCCAUGCUACGAGACCCUCCCCUGAUCAAUCAAGGUUGACAGAGAAGGCCUUUGUGCGACGCUCCAAGGAACAGAUGUCUGCCUGAGAGAGCGCUUCACCUGGAGCUGCUGGAUUAACCGUGGCCUCGCUUUGAUGGAUUAGCAUGUACGGAAAUUGCCCGAUUAUUGAUAUGAAAAUAUUUGCAAACGAGGGGAAACUGGUGACGUGAGGGGUGAGGGGCGCGAAGAUGCUAAGAGAGCUUAUCAGCCUUCCUUCCAACCUUGUCCCUCGCUUCCUACAGAAAGGGGAAAAAGAAGAGGGGUAGAAAAGACAGAUGAGGGCACGGGGAGGAGAAAGAGAACUGCUGUGUGUCAGCGUGGCAGUAUUCAGCUGCCCUUCAUGAAAUAUUGUUCACCAUUAUAUUAACAGAGCUGAGUGGAAAGAGAUAAGAGAGCUUCUGAAAUAGGCAACGGGUGAAUGUGAAAUGUGCCGAGACCUUUAUAAAUGAAGACAGGGC
ensembl:lncRNA